GGGAGUAGCAAUACAACUGGUGGCGACCGGCGCACGGGUGAGUAACGCGUAUGCAACCUACCUAUCAGAGGGGAAUAACCCGGCGAAAGUCGGACUAAUACCGCAUAAAACAGGGACACCGCAUGGUGAUAUUUGUUAAAGAAAUUCGCUGAUAGAUGGGCAUGCGUUCCAUUAGGUAGUUGGUGAGGUAACGGCUCACCAAGCCGACGAUGGAUAGGGGAACUGAGAGGUUGGUCCCCCACACUGGUACUGAGACACGGACCAGACUCCUACGGGAGGCAGCAGUGAGGAAUAUUGGUCAAUGGGCGAGAGCCUGAACCAGCCAAGUCGCGUGAAGGAAGAAGGAUCUAUGGUUCGUAAACUUCUUUUGCAGGGGAAUAAAGUGCAGGACGUGUCCUGUUUUGUAUGUACCCUGAGAAUAAGGAUCGGCUAACUCCGUGCCAGCAGCCGCGGUAAUACGGAGGAUCCGAGCGUUAUCCGGAUUUAUUGGGUUUAAAGGGUGCGUAGGUGGUUUGAUAAGUCAGCGGUGAAAGUUUGCAGCUUAACUGUAAAAAUGCCGUUGAAACUGUCGGACUUGAGUGUAAAUGAGGUAGGCGGAAUGCGUGGUGUAGCGGUGAAAUGCUUAGAUAUCACGAAGAACUCCGAUUG
rnacentral:rRNA from 1 species